GAUAAGUAUGUGAAUUGCAGAAUUCAGUGAAUCAUCGAAUCUUUGAACGCACCUUGCGCCCCUUGGCUAUUCCGAGGGGCAUGCCUGUUUGAGUAUCAUU
rnacentral:rRNA from 1 species